UACGUAGGUGGCAAGCGUUGUCCGGAUUUAUUGGGUUUAAAGGGUGCGUAGGUGGUCUAUUAAGUCAGUGCUGAAAUAUCCCGGCUUAACCGGGAGGGUGGCAUUGAUACUGAUGGACUUGAGUAAAGUUGAGGUGGGCGGAAUUGACGGUGUAGCGGUGAAAUGCUUAGAUAUCGUCAAGAACACCUAUUGCGAAGGCAGCUCACUAAGCUUUAACUGACACUGAGGCACGAAAGUGUGGGGAGCAAACAGG
rnacentral:rRNA from 1 species